rnacentral:rRNA from 1 species
UAACCUGCCNUUCACUUUGGGAUAACCCUCGGAAACGGGGGCUAUACCGGAUAUGACAUUCUGCUGCAUGGUGGGGUGUGGAAAGAUUUUUUGGUGGGGGAUGGGCUCGCGGCCUAUCAGCUUGUUGGUGGGGUGAUGGCCUACCAAGGCGACGACGGGUAGCCGGCCUGAGAGGGCGACCGGCCACACUGGGACUGAGACACGGCCCAGACUCCUACGGGAGGCAGCAGUGGGGAAUAUUGCACAAUGGGCGGAAGCCUGAUGCAGCGACGCCGCGUGAGGGAUGAAGGCCUUCGGGUUGUAAACCUCUUUCAGUAGGGACGAAGCGCAAGUGACGGUACCUACAGAAGAAGCGCCGGCCAACUACGUGCCAGCAGCCGCGGUAAGACGUAGGGCGCGAGCGUUGUCCGGAUUUAUUGGGCGUAAAGAGCUCGUAGGCGGCUUGUUGCGUCGGCUGUGAAAACCCGCGGCUUAACCGCGGGCUUGCAGCCGAUACGGGCGGGCUGGAGUUCGGUAGGGGAGACUGGAAUUCCUGGUGUAGCGGUGAAAUGCGCAGAUAUCAGGAGGAACACCGGUGGCGAAGGCGGGUCUCUGGGCCGAUACUGACGCUGAGGAGCGAAAGCGUGGGGAGCGAACAGGAUUAGAUACCCUGGUAGUCCACGCAGUAAACGUUGGGCGCUAGGUGUGGGGGGCCUCUCCGGUUCUCUGUGCCGCA